GGGCCACUUCCGACGGGACGGGACGGGCGGGCUGUGAAGAGCCGCUCUGUCGGGGAGCAGUCCCACCGCGCGGCGAGGGCAGUCCGGCGACCCAGCAGGAGGCAGCGGCGCUCGAGCGUCGGGGGGGCGGCAGGUUUUGCUCAGCCUGGCCGGGCGAGGCGUGUCCUCGCGUGCACCUGGCCGGGAGCUGCCUGGCCCGGGGCCGGAUCGACGGCGGAGCUAGAGGCCCCACUGGCGGGGAAGCGGGCAGAUGAUGACGGCAGGCAGGGCAGGGCAGGCACGCCGCCUCUCAGCCCCCCUCCCCUCCCCUCCCCUCCCCCAGGGCGCCGAGCCGCAGGGGCUGUAGGACGGGGCCCUCGCCGGAGCAGAUGGUAGGGUACAACUGUGCAGCAGACCCAAGGAAGGAAGCCCCGCGGGCCGUCGCAAGCCAGGCAGCAGCAGCAGAGUUGCUUCACCAGCAGCUGCAACCAGCAGGCGACUUCUCAUUGCAUGACUGAAGCAUUUGCAACUCCUGUUCCCUGGAUCCUAUGCUUUCCCUCCAAAUUCUUCAUUAGACAUCUUGUUUAAGCAGUGAUCUGAGCUGGGAUGGUUGCUACUGAACUUUUUCAUACCCGCCCUGGGGAGCAGUGGAGAGGCCGCGUCCAUGGAUGAAGCUGAAAUCUUCCAGAUGGUGAAAUGCAAAGCAGUCUCCAAACAUUUAACACAUUUUCUCAAAUAUGAUGACUUGGUAACAAAACAGCAAAUGAGAUUCAAUUUACAUGAACAAGGAAGGUAACUGAGAUUAAACAAAAAACUUGGUGGGCUCUGAACUGGUUCGGACUAUCCAGGAAAACAGCUCAGUGGCGAUAAACAGGCUUCCUCAUGCCAAUGUCAGACAGGCCACAGAGCAGAAGAGUCACACCAGUCCUCAGAAUUCUGGAUGCAGGCGGGCUCUGCACAUGGAUGCAAAUGUUUGCCACCAGCAGCCGUGGGCUCCUUCACGUGCCUGAUCUUGCCCUGACUCCCGCCACAUCAAGAGGGAAGCAAUUUCCUUUCAGGCAUUGAUGAAUCCAGCCUCUGUAGCCCAGGGCAGUCACUGCGGGGCCCAGCCCAGGCCCAGAGUCCUUCAGGGAGCAUGACGAGCAGCAGGAGCCAGUUGCUACCUCUGCAGGUGAAGGGGCAUGCAUGCCCUCCUAAGCUAGGAAAAAAGGUGGAAUGCCUCUCUUGACUGGAGUGGCAAACGACAGCUGGUUUUUAUAAACAGUAUCAUCAGAACUAAUUUACAUUUUUUUAAAAAAUGUUAAUGGGGAUAAAAUUUAAAUGAUCAAAAUAUUUCAA